UUCUACUUGUCGGAGUGCCAUAAGGCUGAGACCGUUUAUUCGGGAUCCGUUGAACCUGAUCAGAUUAAAAUCUGCGAAGGGAACAAGAGAGAAUAUUCA
rnacentral:ncRNA from 1 species